rnacentral:misc_RNA from 1 species
AACGCACCUUGCGCUCCUUGGUAUUCCGAGGAGCAUGCCUGUUUGAGUGUCAUGGUAUUCUCAAUUAUCUCAGUUUUUUCUGGGAUGAAUUGGAUUUGGAGGUUAUUUGCUGGCAUCCUUGUGAAAUCAGCUCCUCUUAAAUGUAUCAGUGUGAAUGCUCACUUCAUACUCAGUGUGAUAAUUAUCUACGCUGUGCAUGAGUGAUACAACUUCAUGCUUCGAACCGUCGCAAGACAUCACUUUGACUUCUGACCUCAAAUCAGGUAGGAUUACCCGCUGAACUUAA